GAUAAACGCUGGCGGCGUGCAUUAGACAUGCAAGUCGAACGAACGGACCCGGGCUUGCCCGGGCGAGUGAGUGGCGAACGGCUGAGUAACGCGUAGGUGACCUGUCCUGAAGUGGGGAAUAACUGCCCGAAAGGGUGGCUAAUACCGCAUACGGUCAUGAGUUCAUUCUCAUGUCCAAAGCCUUCGGGCGCUACAGGAGGGGCCUGCGUACGAUUAGCUCGUUGGUGAGGUAACGGCUCACCAAGGCGACGAUCGUUAGGUGGUCUGAGAGGAUGAUCACCCAGACUGGGACUGAGACACGGCCCAGACUCCUACGGGAGGCAGCAGUCGGGAAUUUUGCUCAAUGGGGGAAACCCUGAAGCAGCAACGCCGCGUGAGGGAUGACGGCCUCGGGUUGUAAACC
rnacentral:rRNA from 1 species